GUGCUUGCUGCGGCAGCACAUAUACUGAAAUUGGAAUGAUACAGAGAAGAUUAGUGUGGCCCCUGCGCAAGGGUGACACACAAAUUCGAGGAGUGUUCCAUGUUUUU